rnacentral:rRNA from 1 species
UACGGGGGGGGCAAGCGUUGUUCGGAAUUACUGGGCGUAAAGGGCUCGUAGGCGGCCAACUAAGUCAGACGUGAAAUCCCUCGGCCUAACCGGGGAACUGCGUCUGAUACUGGUUGGCUUGAAUCCGGGAGAGGGAUGUGGAAUUCCAGGUGUAGCGGUGAAAUGCGUAGAUAUCUGGAGGAACACCGGUGGCGAAGGCGGCAUCCUGGACCGGUAUUGACGCUGAGGCGCGAAAGCCAGGGGAGCAAACGGG